AGAACUUGGGUAAGCCGCCUCAGCCUGCUAGGAGGUGCCCUCCAAAGCCUCCUUCUCACCUUUUUGUUCUUGGUUACCAUGCAAAGAGAAAAAGAUAGUUUUGUUCUUGGCAUCCUGGCCUGGAGUGUCUGAGAAACAGCAAGUUUUCCCCAGACAUCGGUUCUGUAUUUCCCAUCGGAGCGAGUCCAGCGAAGAGCAGCAUGUUAAGACAUUAACUGCCCAAGAACCUUGAUAAACAAAACAAUAUGACCAUCUUUAUCUCCAUUUGAAUGUGACAUGGCUUCUUCAGACAUCAGCUGUUUUUAUCUGCAGAACAGUGCUCUGACUUAGGCAGAGCAAGCACUCUGAGAAGCCUCACUCACAGAGGAGGAAACUGAGGUCCAAGAUGGAUUCUCUGUAUCUGUGAUUCCAUGGCCCAACUGUCCAGAAGCAGAACACCCUCAACUCCAAAGCCAAGGCCCUACAGGAAGCCAGCUUGUCCAUACGAGGAUUUCAUUACCAUUCUAAAAGUGUUAUCGGACUUCGCUGCCUCCUUCUUCACCAACCUAUGAUCGAUCAGCCUAAUAAAUGCUCUAAGACUCACGCCCUACUCUCCUGCCCUCCACUGCUCGCCC
ensembl:antisense Junos jun proto-oncogene, opposite strand